CGUGGGCACUUGCCCUUUGGUUCGGAACAACUCAGGGAAACUUGAGCUAACACCGGAUGUGCCCUUCGGGGGAAAGAUUUAUCGCCAUUGGAGCGGCCCGCGUCUGAUUAGCUAGUUGGUGAGGUAAAGGCUCACCAAGGCGACGAUCAGUAGCUGGUCUGAGAGGAUGAUCAGCCACAUUGGGACUGAGACACGGCCCAAACUCCUACGGGAGGCAGCAGUGGGGAAUCUUGCGCAAUGGGCGAAAGCCUGACGCAGCCAUGCCGCGUGAAUGAUGAAGGUCUUAGGAUUGUAAAAUUCUUUCACCGGGGACGAUAAUGACGGUACCCGGAGAAGAAGCCCCGGCUAACUUCGUGCCAGCAGCCGCGGUAAUACGAAGGGGGCUAGCGUUGCUCGGAAUUACUGGGCGUAAAGGGAGCGUAGGCGGACUGUUUAGUCAGAGGUGAAAGCCCAGGGCUCAACCUUGGAAUUGCCUUUGAUACUGGCAGUCUUGAGUACGGAAGAGGUAUGUGGAACUCCGAGUGUAGAGGUGAAAUUCGUAGAUAUUCGGAAGAACACCAGUGGCGAAGGCGACAUACUGGUCCGUUACUGACGCUGAGGCUCGAAAGCGUGGGGAGCAAACAGGAUUAGAUACCCUGGUAGUCCACGCUGUAAACGAUGAGUGCUAGUUGUCGGCAGGCAUGCCUGUCGGUGACGCACCUAACGCAUUAAGCACUUCCGCCUGGGGAGUACGGUCGCAAGAAUAAAACUCAAA
rnacentral:rRNA from 1 species